rnacentral:rRNA from 1 species
GAUGAACGCUGGCGGCGUGCCUAAUACAUGCAAGUCGAGCGAGCAGAUGAGGAGCUUGCUCCUCUGACGUUAGCGGCGGACGGGUGAGUAACACGUGGAUAACCUACCUAUAAGACUGGGAUAACUUCGGGAAACCGGAGCUAAUACCGGAUAAUAUAUUGAACCGCAUGGUUCAAUAGUGAAAGACGGUUUUGCUGUCACUUAUAGAUGGAUCCGCGCCGCAUUAGCUAGUUGGUAAGGUAGCGGCUUACCAAGGCAACGAUGCGUAGCCGACCUGAGAGGGUGAUCGGCCACACUGGAACUGAGACACGGUCCAGACUCCUACGGGAGGCAGCAGUAGGGAAUCUUCCGCAAUGGGCGAAAGCCUGACGGAGCAACGCCGCGUGAGUGAUGAAGGUCUUCGGAUCGUAAAACUCUGUUAUUAGGGAAGAACAAAUGUGUAAGUAACUAUGCACGUCUUGACGGUACCUAAUCAGAAAGCCACGGCUAACUACGU